AUUGAACGCUGGCGGCAGGCCUAACACAUGCAAGUCGAACGAGUGGCGGACGGGUGAGUAAUGUCUGGGAAACUGCCCGCUGGAGGGGGAUAACUACUGGAAACGGUAGCUAAUACCGCAUACCAUCGGAUGUGCCCAGAUGGGAUUAGCUUGUAGGUGAGGUAACGGCUCACCUAGGCCACGAUCCCUAGCUGGUCUGAGAGGAUGACCAGACAAGAUGGAACUGAGACACGGGCCAGACUCCUACGGGAGGCAGGAGUGGGGAAUAUGGCACAAUGGGCGCAAGCCUGAUGCAGCCAUGCCGCGGGGAUGAAGAAGGCCUUCGAGGUGUAAAGUACUUGCAGCGGGGAGGCGUUACCCGCAGAAGAAGCACCGGCUAACUCCGUGCCAGCAGCCGCGGUAAUUC
rnacentral:rRNA from 1 species